rnacentral:tRNA from 1 species
CAAAAUGUAGCUUAACCAAAGCAUCUCGCUUACACCGAGAAAAUACCUGUGAAAACCAGAUCAUUCUGA